UAUGUGAUCGUCUCUCGCAUAUCAAUAAGCGGAGGAAAAGAAACUAACAAGGAUUCCCCUAGUAACGGCGAGUGAAGCGGGAAGAGCUCAAAUUUGAAAUCUUAAAGGGUUUCCCUUUACGAAUUGUAGUUUAAAGAAGUGUUUUCUGUUGAGGUUUUGGUAAAAGUUCUUUGGAAUAGGACAUCAUAGAGGGUGAGAAUCCCGUAUUUGACCCUUACUUUCAACUUUGUGAUACACUUUCAAAGAGUCGGAUUGUUUGGGAAUGCAGUCCAAAAUGGGUGGUAAAUUUCAUCUAAAGCUAAAUAUUGGCGAGAGACCGAUAGCGAACAAGUACCGUGAGGGAAAGAUGAAAAGAACUUUGAAAAGAGAGUUAAACAGUACGUGAAAUUGUCAAAAGGGAAGCGUUUGACACCAGUGUUGUUUUUCUGAAAAUCAAUUAAAGAACUGUUUAUGCUAAGCUGUUUAGACUUUAUCAGCUAUCUGUUUAGUUUUGAGCUUUUCUUUAAUGCACUUUUCAGUUAACAAGUCAACAUCAAUUUCUUUUGCUGUAAAAAAGCUUGAGGAAGGUGGCUUGAGAUUCGUCUUAAGUGUUUAUAGCCUCUUGCCUAUGCAGUCGGAGAGAUUGAGGUCUGCAGCGUAGAUCCUUCGGGGCUAAAUGCAUUUGUGCUAAGUUAUAGCAUUUUAUAGACAACUUGUUGACUAUGAUUUGUCUUGUAGCUUACUCGCUUAUGUUAUUUUACCUACGCUUAGGAUGUUGAUCUGUAGUGCGUGCGC
rnacentral:rRNA from 1 species